AUCCGGUACCUUUUUAACGCUGAGGUGUGAUGACGAGGCACUACGGUGCUGAAGUAACAAAUGCCCUGCUUCCAGGAAAAGCCUCUAAGCAUCAGGUAACAUCAAAUCGUACCCCAAACCGACACAGGUGGUCAGGUUGAGAAUACCAAGGCGCUUGAGAGAACUCGGGUGAAGGAACUAGGCAAAAUGGUGCCGUAACUUCGGGAGAAGGCACGCUGGUGUGUAGGUGAAGUCCCUGCGGACGGAGCUGAAACCAGUCGAAGAUACCAGCUGGCUGCAACUGUUUAUUAAAAACACAGCACUGUGCAAACACGAAAGUGGACGUAUACGGUGUGACGCCUGCCCGGUGCCGGAAGGUUAAUUGAUGGGGUUAGCGGCAACGCGAAGCUCUUGAUCGAAGCCCCGGUAAACGGCGGCCGUAACUA
rnacentral:rRNA from 1 species